rnacentral:rRNA from 1 species
AGAGUUUGAUCAUGGCUCAGGACGAACGCUGGCGGCGCGCUUAACACAUGCAAGUCGAACGGGGUUCAGCCUUCGGGCUGGAUUCAGUGGCGAACGGGUGCGUAACACGUGAGCAACCUGCCCCUCGCAGGGGGACAACCGGAGGAAACUCCGGCUAAUACCCCGUACGCUUGUUGGAUCGCAUGGUCCGGCAAGGAAAGGUAGCUUCGGCCAUCCGGCGAGGGAUGGGCCCGCGUUGCAUUAGCUAGUUGGUGGGGUAACGGCCUACCAAGGCGACGAUGCGUAGCUGGUCUGAGAGGAUGAUCAGCCACACUGGGACUGAGACACGGCCCAGACUCCUACGGGAGGCAGCAGUCGGGAAUCUUGCGCAAUGGGCGAAAGCCUGACGCAGCAACACCGUGUGAGCGACGAAGGCCUUCGGGUCGUAAAGCUCUGUUGUUGGGGACGAAGGGUUAGGGGUUAAUAGCCCUGAGCCUGACGGUACCCUUCGAGGAAGCCCCGGCUAACUACGUGCCAGCAGCCGCGGUAAUACGUAGGGGGCGAGCGUUGUCCGGAAUUAUUGGGCGUAAAGAGCGUGUAGGCGGUUCGGUAAGUCUGCCGUGAAAACCCAGGGCUCAACCCUGGGCGUGCGGUGGAUACUGCCGGGCUAGAGGGUGGUAGAGGCGAGUGGAAUUCCCGGUGUAGCGGUGAAAUGCGCAGAUAUCGGGAGGAACACCAGUAGCGAAGGCGGCUCGCUGGGCCAUACCUGACGCUGAGACGCGAAAGCGUGGGGAGCAAACAGGAUUAGAUACCCCUGUAGUCC